rnacentral:misc_RNA from 1 species
UGGUCUUGCAAAUUUUACAUGCUCCAGUA